UCUCCGUUGGUGAACCAGCGGAGGGAUCAUUACCGAGUUUACAACUCCCAAACCCCUGUGAACAUACCUAUCGUUGCCUCGGCGGUGCCCGCUCCGGCGGCCCGCCAGAGGACCCCCAAACUCUUGUUUUAUACAGUAUCUUCUGAGUAACACGAUUAAAUAAUCAAAACUUUCAACAACGGAUCUCUUGGUUCUG
rnacentral:misc_RNA from 1 species